AUGGCUUUUGCUCCCUGGUACAAAUGGAGUCAUUAGUAUCAAUCCACGCAGAGAAGUGGAGGCAGGGGCCCAGGACCAGCAGGAACACUGCUUUGGGACAACACAUCUCCUGACUGCCUGACUGCCCCUUUCUGGGUCCAUUUUAUUUUCCCGGGCACCUGUGCCAGCCACCUCCUUGGUCAGUGCUCCAGGUAGCUCUUCAUCCAUGAUGCCAGUCAACCAUAAGGAAGUCCUCAUCGUGAAAUCCAAGAAGUACUUUGGAUUAAGAGUGUCCCAUGUGACUUUUAUCCUAGUGAUCCGGCAUUACCUCCCACUGGGGUGGAAGAUUUGGUCUCCCUGGGCUGCAGAAUUUGACUAAAGGUCUGUGUGUGUUGGUUCUUGACUUAGUUAUGAGCUCUCAACAUGCAAUAAACAUCCUGAUUAACCUUGGGAAAUCUGAAUACUACUAUUACCUGAAUAUGGCUCUUGACUGGUUUCUGACCUCUCACCCAUCUAUGGGCACAUGAUUAAGUAAUGCAAAUUAAUUGUAAUAAUUUCCCAAGCAAAUAAAAUUAUUUUGGUAAUG
rnacentral:lncRNA from 1 species